rnacentral:rRNA from 1 species
UACGUAGGGUCCGAGCGUUGUCCGGAGUUACUGGGCGUAAAGCGCGCGCAGGCGGCUCAUCAAGCAUGGCGUGAAAGCCCCCGGCUCAACCGGGGAGGGUCGUCGGUGGACUGGUGAGCUUGAGGGCGGGAGGGGCUGGUGGAAUUCCCGGUGUAGUGGUGAAAUGCGUAGAGAUCGGGAGGAACACCGGUGGCGAAGGCGGGUCUCUGGGGCAACAACUGACGCUGAGGAGCGAAAGCGUGGGGAGCGAACAGG